CUUCAGUGAUGAUUCGAUGACGAGUCGGAAUAGGACACAGCCUGCUCUGUGGGGUCCUGGCUCAGGGCCACGUUCUGUGUCUCUGGGCUCAGGCCUCCAGAGCAGUGUGGCCUCAUUGUUUGAUGACAUAGAGGCAUUUGUCUGAGAAGG